rnacentral:lncRNA from 10 species
CUGAUGUUCACAAUGAUGGUUUCAAGUCAUCUAAGGAAUGGAUCUGGAAGCAAUGAGUGGUAGUAGGUAUUGAAUAAAAUUGUCAUUGCCUUACAAGAGGACACAUCAUUGAGGUCAUUUAGAAUCUUCAGGUGAAGGAAGACUGAUGUUCUCAAACAGAAAAGAUGGGCUGUUUCUGAUGGAAAUUAAGGAUCAAUGAGGAGACUGUUUUCCAUGGGUCUCUCACAUUUCUGGACAUCUUGCAAAUGAAGGCACUCACUGACUUUAUUUCAAAUUAUCUUUUGAAGGAUGUUUAUAUAGCAAAUGACAGAGAAAAUGUCUCUCUCUAGGGUGAAGACCAGAUAGAAUUACUGCUCAUUUUAAAAGAUUCAGGUACCCUAUGUUUAGAAUUCCUCUCUUGUACCCCACCCCAUUAUGUGUGCAGGUAUUACCCAGACUUCUUUGUAUUAUCCUGUAGAUUUGUGUCUUCCAGAACCAAUGCAAAUGCUGAUACUCUGGUUUUUGCUGUUCUGAAUAAUAAAGUCAUUAAUAUC